UAAAUUCCAUAAAAGGCUGACUGCUGACUUGAGUUUUCAUUUAGGAAUUACAUAGCUGAAUUCCUUGGCGACCUUAAAUUAAUAUAUAUCAGUCUUUUAAAGUGAUUUCCUUUUCACAACAUCAACCUGGAUAAGUCAUUGAACCUCUGCACCAAGCAGUUCUCUGAGAUUCUUAAGUUGUAGAAUCUACGAAUCUCUACAUGGAGACAAUAAGUUCCCUCAUCAGGGAAUUCCUGAACAAAUCCUCCAAAAAGGGAGGGGGGGAAAGUGACUGGCAUAGGGAGAAAUGGACCAAGCUGCCUAAUUAUCCCCUUAGGGAUCUUAAUGAAGCUCAACCAUCCAUUGACAGAAGGGAGAAGAAAAGACCAAACCAAUCAGUUAGGGCUUUUCCUCCAUUUUCUGCUUAAUAGAGGAAAUAACAUGAAGUAAUUCCUGGGAAUUAUUCUUUGACUGAAAUUCUUUGGCUGCCCUUAGGGCUAUCAACUCUUCCCAGCUGCUUCAUAAAUCUCUGUGAAAUUCCCUAUGCUUUAAUUGUCACCGUAUAAUUGAAUGUUUGGUUAUUUUCACAUGGUUCUAUACUUUGACAGUUUAUUUUAAUUUACCCAACAGUGCCUGUUCUUUGUCAUUUGUCCCAUAUGGUUCUGGAAGGAGCCUCCUGAAUGAGUCCAAAGUUUGGAAUUUAUGAAAGUUGCCUCCAAAAUUUUCCUUCCAUCUUUUUUUCCUCCAUUUCUUUGUCUGUGAUCUAGCGUUUCCCAAGCCAAAUUCUUUAAGAAACAUAUCAAAUUAAUAUCUAAGAAUUCCUUCUUUCUCUUGCCUCCCUUCUUGCCCCACCUGGAAACUUCCUGUGUCUCUGAGGAACAUUUAAAGGGUUUGUAAGUUUCCAUGUUGAAUUUUUUUGACCUGAAAUAGAGGCACAAUGACCACCCAGGCCUUUGAAACAAAGAUAGGAACUGAUAGAGAAAAAUAAAAGAGUUUCAUUUCCUGAUAGCUGUGCAGUUAUCCUAGUAUCAGGCACUGCAUUACCAUGGUAACAAAUACCAUUACCCAACAGUACAGCAGACAGUUAAAAAUCAUUAUCCCUUCCCCCUGGCAAUUAGAUUUCAGGAUUUUCUUUUCUCAUAUGUAUCCCAGCUUUAAGUUGGCAUAGAUGAGUCCCAUGUUCCUGUCCAGAAUGGAGAGGGUUCCUGAUACCCACAUAUAGAAAGCAUACUACUUUCAUGGACUGAAUCCAAUCUAUGCAAGAUGUAAGCCAAGCCAUUCCAAGAUGCAUACAGUUUCUCAUCAACCAUAAGUCAGCCUUCAUUAUCAAACCAAGUCCUCCCUAUGAUAUAUGCUAAAUAUCUCUGCCUCUAACUCCAAUAAAAUACAUUUUAGUUCUA